rfam:Schistosoma margrebowiei strain Zambia genome assembly, scaffold: SMRZ_contig0003957
CUCUGGGACGAGUCCCAAAUAGGACGAAACGCGCGUCCUGGAU